AGCUUGAUUAUGGCUCAGAUUGAACGCUGGCGGGAUGCUUACACAUGCAAGUCGAACGGCAGCACGGACUUCGGUCUGGUGGCGAGUGGCGAACGGGUGAGUAAUGUAUCGAACGUGCCUAGUAGCGGGGAUAACUACGCGAAAGCGUAGCUAAUACCGCAUACGCCCUUCGGGGAAAGCGGGGACCUUCGGGCCUCGCACUAUUAGAGCGGCCGAUAUCGGAUUAGCUAGUUGGUGGGGCAACGGCUCACCAAGGCGACGAUCCGUAGCUGGUUUGAGAGCACGACCAGUUUCACACUGGGACCGAGACACGUUCCAGACUCCUACGGGAGGCAAGCAGGGGAAUUUUGGAUAUUGGGGAAACUCCUGAUCCAGCCAUCCGGCAGCGAUGAAGGCCUCUUAGUCAGAAAGAUCUUUGGCGGGGAAAGAAACGGCACCGGAUACCACCGCAACUGAUUGCACCUGCAGAAUAAGCGCGACCGGCUAACUAUUGUGCCAGGUAAAGUCAUGGUACCACGUGAAGUGCAAGCGUUAAUCGGAAUUACUGGGCGUAAAGCGUGCGCAGGCGUUCGAAAGCGCACAUGUGAAUCCCAGAGCUAACUUUGAAAUCCGCAUUUUUUAACUACCGAGCUAGAGUGUGUCAGAGGAGGUGAAUCGGGCGUAGCAGUGAAAAUGCGUAGAUAUGCGGAGGAACACCGAUGGCGAAGGCAGCCUCCCUGGGGAUAACGACGCCUGGCACGAAAGCGUGGGGAGCAAACAGGAUUAGAUACCCCUGGUAGUCCACGCCCUAAACGAUGUCAACUAGCUUGUUGUAUUCUUCGGCCUGCAGAGCGCAGUUUAACGCGUGAAGUUGACCGCCCAGAGCAUGGUCGUAAGAUUAAAAACCUGAAGGAAUUGAUUGGGAUCCGCAAUAAGCAGGGAUGAUGUGAUUAAUCUGAUGCAACGCGAAAACCUACUCUACCCUUACAUGUCUGGAAUCCCGAAGAGAUUUGGGAGUGCUCGCAAGAGAACUGGAACACAGGUGCUGCAUGGCUGCUGUCAGCUUCUGGGUUCGAGAUGUUGGGUUAAGCCUGCAACGAGCGCAACUCUGGCCACUGCUUAUUAGCCAGGCGCAAAUUCCGACGACUGCUGGCAGAUAAACCGGAGGAAGGUGGGAUGACGUCAAGUCCUCAUGGCCCUUAUGGGUAGGGCUUCACGUCAUACAAUGGUCGGAACAGGUCGCCAACCCGCGAGGGGGAGCCAAUCCCAGAAACCCGAUCGUAGUCCGAUCGCAGUCUGCAACUCGACUGCGUGAAGUCGGAAUCGCUGAAGACCACCGCGGGAUCAGCAUGGUCGCGGUGAAUGAUGCCCGGUCUGUACACACCGCCCGUCACACCAUGGGAGGUUUUACCAGAAGUAGUUAUAGCCUUAACCGUGAAGGAGGGCGACACACGGUAGGAUUCAUGACUGGGGUAGUCAACAAGGUAGCCCUGUUACUACCCG
rnacentral:rRNA from 1 species